UACAGAGGGUGCGAGCGUUAAUCGGAGUUACUGGGUGUAAAGGGCGCGUAGGCGGUAAGAUGUGUGUGUUGUGAAAUCCCCGGGCUCAACCUGGGAACUGCAUCCGAAACUGCCUUGCUAGAGUAUGGGAGAGGGAAGUGGAAUUUCCGGUGUAGCGGUGAAAUGCGUAGAUAUCGGAAGGAACAUCAGUGGCGAAGGCGACUUCCUGGACCAAUACUGACGCUCAGGUGCGAAAGCGUGGGGAGCAAACAGG
rnacentral:rRNA from 1 species